rnacentral:rRNA from 1 species
GAUGAACGCUGGCGGCGUGCCUAACACAUGCAAGUCGAACGGACAUUUUUGAAGUACUUCGACCGGAAUCUAAUAGUUAGUGGCGGACGGGUGAGUAACGCGUGAGCAAUCUGCCUUUCAGAGGGGGAGUAACAGCCGGAAACGGCUGCUAAUACCGCAUGAUGCAUUUGGGCUGCAUGGCUCUGAAUGCCAAAGAUUUAUCGCUCUGAGAUGGACUCGCGUCUGAUUAGCUAGUUGGUGGGGUAAAGGCCUACCAAGGCUGCGAUCAGUAGCCGGACUGAGAGGUUGAACGGCCACAUUGGGACUGAGAUACGGCCCAG